UUAAACGGUGAACUGGAAGAAGAAAUCUACAUGGAGCAACCUGAAGGAUUUGUAAUUCAUGGACAAGAAGACAAGGUCUGCAAGUUAGAUAAAUCUCUGUAACAAUGUAAAAAAGGAUAGAACUAUGGAAAACUAUGAAAAACGAUGAUUAUGGUGCUGCUGGAAAAAUACAAAGUUGAUAGUGUUGGCACACAGGAAAGAAGACGCACGGUUGUAGAGAACACGGGCAUCUAGAGGAAGCAAUAUUGUUUACUUGUGAAAAAGGAACUGAGAAGAAAAAAACUAAAGGCACAAUUACUGAGACAAUGUUAGUGGUGUACCAUAAAUUGAAAGAAAAAAAACUGAAAGGUGGCGUUGUCAGCGGCAAAUGUUGCCAGCAGCGGUAGUGAAGCAUAGAUACAGGUCACAUAAUCAAAAUAUGCUCAGAUACUAUGUAAAAUAUGAGUAAUUUUUUGUGUAUCUUGUGAGAUCACAUCUUCUAUUUAUAAUGAUGUUGCAAUAAUUACAUUCAAUGAGUAAAUUUGCGUGUAUCUUGUGAGAUCACACCUAUUUAUAAUGAUGUUGCAAUAAUUACAUUUAAUGUCUAGGAAUUUGUGUUGACUAGGACUAUUAACAAUUAGCCUAGGAUGUUGCACAACUAAAGAGUAAUAAAAACAUACACUACAUUUUAACAAUUCUAUUAGGACCCCAAACAUCACUGUGAAUAAUUGCAAAUCGUUUUGAUUGUUAAUAUUGUUGUGUAGAAAAAGAAGAACUGUGAUAUUUAGCAAAUUCGCAAGUUUCACAAUGAAAUCACGAUGGAUCCUUCUUUGAAAAUAAUAUAGGAAAUCAAUGUUUCAAAUACGCAAAACUAGGAUGCCCUAGCACUAAAUGCCUUAUCAUAAUAUCAUCAUUAUUAGAAGAAACAAAAGUAUAUUCAAAGCAGGUACUUAUUUGAGGUUGGUAUUUGAAGUCGAGUUCAUUGUCAAGAUAAUAGAGUGCUCCACUCUCCUUAACAUUGUCAAUUAUCUGCCUCGUAUUCAAAUCCUUAAAAGUGCAAUGAGAACGAAAUAAGUUAGUUUGACAAUUUAUAUCCUUUGUUAAUUUAGUAAUGGAUAUUAGACUACAUGAUAAAUUAGGAAGAUGUAAGAUAUCUUUUAAGGUCAACAAAUGUGAUAGAAUAACGGAUCCUUUCUCUACAAUAGCUGAAAGAGAGCCAUCUAGAAUUUUAAUUUUGUAGUUACAUGCUCAAGUACUAUAAGAAGAAAACAUACUUGACUCCCCAGUCAUAUGAUUAGUAGCAUCAGAAUCGAUAAUCCAAGUAUGACUUGGAUUGACACUGAGUAGAGCAAUAUUUGAAAAAUUACCUCUAUGAGCUAUAGAGCAAGAAGGAGUUUGAGAUUUAACCUUUAGGGCAUUAGAAGUUUCCUCAUGACCAAAAAAAUUGGAAAAAUCAUUGUUGGAGAAAUCACUCCAGCCGCUACCGCCAGGGUCGCUCCCUCCUAGGCCGACGCUGCCUGAACAACCAUUGCCAGCGUUGUUGACAACUUCUAGUUUUUCACUAGAACCAUUCUAUUGUGCACCAUUAGGUAGGUAAAUAGAAAAAUGGAUCCGGUCGCAAAACAAGUUGUACAUAAAUUAAAAACAAAAUGUUGAUGCCCUUUAAGUUUGAAGCCUCGACUCCCAUUAGGUUGUGGAACCCUAACCAAGAGACUCUAGAUACCAUAAAGAAAGUAAAAGAUAAAAUACUUUCAUAUUUUAUUACUAUAGCCCUAAGCUGUUUAUAUUAUUACUAUAGCCCUAAGCUGUUUAUAUUAUUACUAUAGCCCUAAGUUGUUUACAUUAUUACUAUAGCCCUAAGCUGUUUAUAUAAGAAGAAAACAAAAUUACAAUAGUAAUAAUUAUAUAAGAAGAAAAUCAGAUUUGAUUUCUUUUGAUUCUUCAUUAAGGAUUUUGCACAAGAAUGUGAUAAAAUGAUAGUCUGAAGGCGGUGGUAAUAAAGUGCACACUGUUAGUGUUAACAAGCAUGGCUGUUUCCAUGAUUAAUAGUAAAAUCUUUGUAGAAUCACAAACUGAAAUUGCAGAAAGAUGGAAGCAAUUACACUAACAGAGCUUCUUUCUAAUUAAAUGAUUGAAGUAGGAGCGGGAGGAUCUCUGCCUUCUUUUUAAUAAUAAUAGGAAUGCAGCAAGUUUAUAUUAGUAUGUCUUGUGCUCAUGUUCUAAAAAAAUGAAUCCUCUGAAUGUGUGGGUGUAGGUGGAACUAUCCCUAUUUUCAUGAUUUUAUUAACAUAGAUGCUUAUGAGUGUUAUAGAUGCUUUUCUUAUGUACAAAAUAUCCAGAGAAUUCAGGUGUAUGUUUUUGCAUAAUUGGCUUCAGUUAAAAUUUCUUCAGAUGGAAUAAUGAUUCAGAAUGAAUUGAUGAAUCUUGAGGGAGUGUAGUUUUAAAUAUUUUUGGUUUGGUUAUUCCAAAAAUUUGCUCACUGUACUUUAUACCUA